rnacentral:sRNA from 1 species
UUCUAGAUGUCAAUGACAACGCCCCAGAAUUUGCUGAGUUCUAUGAAACUUUUGUCUGUGAAAAAGCAAAGGCAGAUCAGUUGAUUCAGACCCUGCAUGCUGUUGACAAGGACGACCCUUAUAGUGGGCACCAAUUUUCAUUUUCCUUGGCCCCUGAAGCAGCCAGUGGCUCAAACUUUACCAUUCAAGACAACAAAGACAACACGGCGGGAAUCUUAACUCGGAAAAAUGGCUAUAAUAGACACGAGAUGAGCACCUAUCUCUUACCUGUGGUCAUUUCAGACAACGACUACCCAGUUCAAAGCAGCACUGGGACAGUGACUGUCCGGGUCUGUGCAUGUGACCACCACGGGAACAUGCAAUCCUGCCAUGCGGAGGCGCUCAUCCACCCCACGGGACUGAGCACGGGGGCUCUGGUUGCCAUCCUUCUGUGCAUCGUGAUCCUACUAGGUAAACUGGUUCUCCCUGCCUCCUAUCUCCCCAUGGUGAGGGGCUCACACUGUUACUGUGACACUCUAGAUUUAUCUGCUUCCCCCAUUAAGGCAUACAGCCUGAUCUAGGUGAGUCGAGUUACAUACUGAGAAUCUGUGCUGUACGAUGUGAACUCAUUUUUGCUUGCAAAUGGCUUUGGAAAAUGAACAGAUGUGAAACUUGCCCGUGUCUUUGCUUGCCCAGGAAGCAAAGAAUCUCUUGUCUAUCAGACUGGGAAUGAAUCUCGGGGGAUUUCAGGGCAACAUAAAUGUGCCCUUUUCAUUUCAUUUGUUGUGUAAUUUUUUUACUUGGAAAACGUUGUUAAGUGUCUGGCAUGGAGUGUAUGAUGAGGGCCCUUUCUAUAAAGGUAAAGUUUAAAGAUCUGUGGGAAAGUGGGAAGAGGAGUAUGAUGACUUUUCUCUCAUCCUAGAAAAAUAAAAACUAUGAAAUUUUUUUAAUCCAGCAAACUAAUGUUGAUUUACCAUUUGAAUGAUUACCUUCUUAGCAUUGCUCUCUGAUUGCCACAUGCAUAAGGUCUAUUUCUCACACUCAACAAUAAAUAACUUCUGUGAUUGAGGAAAUAAGUAUGGGGGCCCAAAAGAAAUGAAUGUAAGAAAAAUGGAAAUCAGGGUCUAACAAUGAUUCAAAUGAAAUUUUUACCCCUAACCAACUAAUUAAGCCUACAAGUCGAGCGCAGAUUUCUCAACAGGCCCUUGACUGUUUGUGAACUAAGAAAUCAAAUAUUUGUUAAUGCAGCCCUUCCAAAAAUGAAAGCAAGAUUUGUAAAGCUUACCUAUAUAGUGAAAAGAAAAGGUAAGAAGUUAAGAGUCAACCUGAAUUAUACAGGGGGAAAUACUCUUUUUUAAAAAAUGAAGACAGAGUGACUUUGAGAAGAGUGAAAGAGAACCUGCAUUUCUCCAAGAACAGAAUGCCUAGGGAUCCCUGCUCGAGUGCUCCUUCACACUUCACAUCAACCCUUCUAAUUAUAACAGAAGCCUUGAAACUCAACUACAGAACUGUGAUUCUCUUUGUCAACUAAGACUUGGGGAAGGUAUUUUAAGAUAUGAGCAUAAAUAAAAACGGACAGUGUGCAAAGACAAA